GUCUCAGUUCGGANCGGAGUCUGCAACCCGACUCCGUGAAGCUGGAUUCGCUAGUAAUCGCGCAUCAGCCAUGGCGCGGUGAAUACGUUCCCGGGCCUUGUACACACCGCCCGUCAAGCCAUGGAAGCCGGGAGUGCCUGAAGUAUGCAACCGCAAGGAGCGUCCUAAGGUAAAACCGGUGACUGGGGCUAAGUCGUAACAAGGUACC
rnacentral:rRNA from 1 species